GCGGGUAUGGCGAAAUUGGUAGACGCACCUGGUUUAGGUCCAGACGGGAGCAAUCCUGUGUCAGUUCGAGUCUGACUACCCGCACCA
rnacentral:tRNA from 1 species